CGUGGAUUGGUUGUCUCUAGAAAAAUAAGUGAAGUUUCCUUUUAAAUGAAAAGGUUUAAAUUUUUAUAAAAGACGAGAAGACCCUGUCGAGCUUGAUUAGACUUAAGAUAUUUUGGUACUAUUACUGUUUCUGAGGUUGAAUUUUAGUUGGGGAGAGCUAAACCUAAAAGAAUAGGUUUGAGGCAGACACAGAUCCUCUUUGAGAGAUAAUUGGUAAAAGUUACCGCAGGGAUAACAGCGUAAUUUUUCUUGAGAGAUCGUAUUGAGGGAAAAGUUUGCGACC
rnacentral:rRNA from 1 species